GCUAGCAGCUUAGAACUUUUAAAGGAGGCAAAGGCAGAGGAGAACAAAGGAAGGAGGAAGUAACUGGUGGAAUGCUGAGAAAGCAUUUCAGUGUGCGGCAUCAUCAUGCAAGCUCUGUAAGAGGAGAGUAAGAUCAGUACUCCUACUUGUAAAUGAAAGAGAAGAAAACAAAAACAAGCAAAUUCCUUCUAAGGUGUGAGGAACACGAGUAAACAGAGAAAUCACCUAAGGAGAAAACAGGAAGCAGAUUUGAAACUGUGGCCACCAACGACACGAGGGAGCGCAAAACCCAGCCCACUUGCCAGGGAGGCUGGCAGAGCCCACACCCAGUCUGGUGCCCUGGUCGGUUACAUUCUGCUUUUUGAAGCAGCGUUCAAAAUCAGUUGUGGAUCAAGUCAAGAUGAACUCUGAAACAAUACUUUAAAUACCCCUGGAUGAUUUUGAAGCUCCCUGCAGCAUUUUUAGAAGGUACCAAAUAAGAAAAACGUGGAUGAAGAUGGAGAAAGCAUACAAAACUUUUACACACUGGUUUGAAGCUGUCACCGCGCGGAACAUAAAGAACAGGCCAAGACCAGUGCAGGCAUCGACGACUUUCUCCAUUCAGAGCCUCCGCGCAUCCCAAAUAAAUAAACACAUCAAAACGUGCAAA
rnacentral:lncRNA from 1 species